UACGGGGGGGGCAAGCGUUGUUCGGAAUUACUGGGCGUAAAGGGCUCGUAGGCGGCCAACUAAGUCGGACGUGAAAUCCCUCGGCUUAACCGGGGAACUGCGUCCGAUACUGGAUGGCUUGAGUUCGGGAGAGGGAUGCGGAAUUCCAGGUGUAGCGGUGAAAUGCGUAGAUAUCUGGAGGAACACCGGUGGCGAAGGCGGCAUCCUGGACCGACACUGACGCUGAGGAGCGAAAGCCAGGGGAGCAAACGGGG
rnacentral:rRNA from 1 species